CUUCUCUGAGCAUGUCUGUAAUUUUACUUUUUCUGUGCUUUGUACAGGAUUCAGUCUCAGAGAGGCACAACCCUAUCCACUCACGAGACACUACUGUAAAGCACAGCUUUCAGCUGGUUGAUCAACCUCACGCUGCAUUUUCUCAACGUGAUGAAGUCUGGAGUGUGGCUGAUUUAUCUCCCGCCAAUUCAUUAGGAAUAAUGUCCAAGGUGGAUGAGGACACAGAAAAACAUCCUGCUUUGAAAAACCUGGAGGAAGAGGAAGCUGCUGAUCUGCGUCGUGAGGAGUCACUGCAAAAUGGAUCAGUAACUAUUCUUUAUGGAUCCGAUCAGAAACGCUACAGGAUUCACAAAGGCUCUCCAGGUCCGGUCGGGCAACCAGGAAGAAUGGGAUGUGCGGGGAGAGAAGGUUUCAUUGGAAUUACUGGUGACAAGGGAUCUCAAGGUCCUCCCGGCUUGGAUGGGAGUAGAGGAGAUCAAGGUUCUCCCGGUCCUCGAGGUCUUCCCACGCUCUACCUGUGGAGUAACUCAGAGCAGGACCUGGCUGAAUUCAGGGUGAGUCUGAAAAUAAACCUUUCACACAUUUCAGCUGUGAAUGGUCUCAGUGGUGUUUGGUCAAGUUCUGCUGCUC
rnacentral:lncRNA from 1 species